UAGUCCACGCCGUAAACGAUGUCUGCUAGCCGUUGGCGACUUUAUGUUGCUAGUGGCGAAGCUAACGCGAUAAGCAGACCGCCUGGGGAGUACGGCCGCAAGGUUAAAACUCAAAUGAAUUGACGGGGGCCCGCACAAGCGGUGGAGCAUGUGGUUUAAUUCGAUACAACGCGAAGAACCUUACCAGGCCUUGACAUCCCGAGAAGUCGCUAGAGAUAGCUUCGUGCCUUCGGGCACUCGGUGACAGGUGCUGCAUGGCUGUCGUCAGCUCGCGUUGUGAAAUGUUGGGUUAAGUCCCGCAACGAGCGCAACCCUUAUCCUUGUUUGCCAGCACGUAAUGGUGGGAACUCCAGGGAGACUGCCGGUGAUAAACCGGAGGAAGGUGGGGACGACGUCAAGUCAUCAUGGCCCUUACGAGUAGGGCUACACACGUGCUGCAAUGGCGCAUACAGAGGGCGGCCAACCAGCGAUGGUGAGCGAAUCCCAAAAAGUGCGUCGUAGUCC
rnacentral:rRNA from 1 species